rnacentral:rRNA from 1 species
AUACCCCACUAUGCCUAGCCAUAAACCUUGAAUAUUUACACAAACUUCCGCCAGGGGACUACAAGCGACAGCUUAAAACCCAAAGGACUUGGCGGUGCCUAAUACCCACUCAGAGGAGCCUGUUCUGUAAUCGACAACCCACGUUAAACCUCACCACCUAUUGCAAUUUCAGCCUAUAUACCACCGUCCCCAGCUUACCUUGUGAAAGAAAAAUCGUAAGCAAAACGACCACAUCAAUACGUCAGGUCAAGGUGUAGCACAUCAGGUGGAAAGAAAUGGGCUACAUUUUCUUUUUAAGAAUAAACGAAUAAGCCUAAUGAAAUAUAACUUUGAAGGUGGAUUUGACAGUAAAAAGAAAUCAUUACAUUCUAUUUAAGUCGGCCCUAAGGCGCGCACACACC